GAUGAACGCUGGCGGCGUGCCUAAUACAUGCAAGUCGAGCGAACGGACGAGAAGCUUGCUUCUCUGAUGUUAGCGGCGGACGGGUGAGUAACACGUGGAUAACCUACCUAUAAGACUGGGAUAACUUCGGGAAACCGGAGCUAAUACCGGAUAAUAUUUUGAACCGCAUGGUUGAAAAGUGAAAGACGGUCUUGCUGUCACUUAUAGAUGGAUCCGCGCUGCAUUGGCUAGUUGGUAAGGUAACGGCUUACCAAGGCAACGAUGCAUAGCCGACCUGAGAGGGUGAUCGGCCACACUGGAACUGAGACACGGUCCAGACUCCUACGGGAGGCAGCAGUAGGGAAUGUUCCGCAAUGGUCGAAAGCCUGACGGAGCGACGCCGCGUGAGUGAUGAAGGUCUUCGGAGCGUAAAACUCUGUUAUUAGGGAAGAACAUAUGUGGAAGGAACUGUGCACAUCUUGACGGUACCUAAUCAGAAAGCCACGGCUAACUACGUG
rnacentral:rRNA from 1 species